AAGGACAGCGGCGGACGGGUGAGUAACGCGUAGGCAACCUGCCCCUGACAGAGGGAUAGCCAUUGGAAACGAUGAUUAAAACCUCAUAACGCCGAAGAAACACAUGUUUCAUCGGCCAAAGAUUUAUCGGUCAGGGAUGGGCCUGCGUCUGAUUAACUAGUUGGUGAGGUAACGGCCCACCAAGGUGACGAUCAGUAGCCGACCUGAGAGGGUGAUCGGCCACAUUGGAACUGAGACACGGUCCAAACUUC
rnacentral:rRNA from 1 species